GAUGAAGAACGCAGCGAAAUGCGAUAAGUAAUGUGAAUUGCAGAAUUCAGUGAAUCAUCGAAUCUUUGAACGCACAUUGCGCCCGCCAGUAUUCUGGCAGGCAUGCCUGUCUGAGCGUCAUUUCAACCCUCAUGCCCCUAGGGCGUGGUGUUGGGGAUCGGCCAAAGCCCGCGAGGGACGGCCGGCCCCUAAAUCUAGUGGCGGACCCGUCGUGGCCUCCUCUGCGAAGUAGUGAUAUUCCGCAUCGGAGAGCGAUGAGCCCCUGCCGUUAAACCCCCAACUUUCCAAGGUUGACCUCAGAUCAGGUAGGAAUACCCGCUGAACUUAAGCAUAUCAAUAAGCGGAGGA
rnacentral:misc_RNA from 1 species